UACGUAGGGGGCGAGCGUUGUCCGGAUUUAUUGGGCGUAAAGAGCUCGUAGGCGGUUUGAUAAGUCGGAUGUGAAAUCUCCACGCUCAACGUGGAGGGGCCAUUCGAUACUGUCGUGACUCGAGUCCGGUAGGGGAGUGUGGAAUUCCCGGUGUAGCGGUGAAAUGCGCAGAGAUCGGGAGGAACACCCGUAGCGAAGGCGGCUCACUGGAGCUCUUCUGACGCUGAGGCACGAAAGCUAGGGUAGCGAACGGG
rnacentral:rRNA from 1 species